rnacentral:piRNA from 1 species
GAAACUGAUCUGGCCUAGGGUGUUGUCUGC